UUCACACGCCAUGUCGUCGCAAACAGUUUUAGCCUGCCUAACAUUCCUCUAUCCAAAACAAAUAGCCUAUAUUAAGUAAUCGGCUUCAUGCUAUGUUUCUGAGGGGUUUCCGUAUCUGCGGGGCUGCGUGAGGAAAAGUUGUGCCCGCGAGGGAGUUCGAUUUAGCUCGCCCGGGUUCCACCCGAAGAUAGGAGCUUCCUCGUGGUUAAAACUGAUUUGCAAUCGUUUUGAAACCGGACUGCCUCCCGGGAAUGAGCCGGAUGCCCCUUUGAAUGCCGAAAACGAAUUCGGUGGGGGGAAAAAUGUGUAUGUCAAGCAUACGGAGUAAUGAGUUUGGAUUCGGUAUUUUCACGUGCAAAAGUGUAAAAACGCAUAAGCUGCCUCUCCAAGGAAAACUACUUUGAAAAUAUGAACAUUAAUUUGAUGGAAAAUACAUGUUUUAUAUUUCUCAAAGAUUCAUCAUGCUGUUUUGUUGUCAUUAAGGCCUGGUGAUUUUCGAUUUCAGCCGGACGCUCCUCCCUCACCGCUUUGGUAAUGUGCUGUUUUUAGCCUAGGUCACCCCGGUUCAGUCUAAUCCAACUCCCUUAGUGUCCCUGAACUGUUAUUGUAAUUCCUUCUUCAAUACAGCAGAGGGCAAUAUGAUACAGAGUCGACAUUGGCCUACACACGUUGCCAUUACUUUGCUGCGUAGUUUGAUUUGAACAGCCAUACGAAGUAAUUAUCAUAUCUCAUUUUCUGGUCGAAGGGUUUUGUCUGGCUUCGUGUGUUCUUUGCAUCUCUAUGCCUGUGCAUUUUUACAACAAAUGAAAAUCAAAACACAUUCAUACAUUCAUAAUUUCAGCAGUGAUUAAAAAUCAUUGCUGACUUUUUGGUGGUAUGAUUACUGGCAUGUCAUGGCCUUCAGUUAACUUUUUUUCCAUUACACAGAUUUGUAGAAUGAGAAAGUACUUGUCUGAGACUAUCAUAUGUGCAAUAUAUCAGUGGUUGUAGGAGGAGGCGUGUUGAUGUAAUAGGAUUGAAAGUGUAUGUCAAAGGAAUGUGUUAUGUUUCUAACAGCAUCUAUAUAAUAUUUUACAUGCUGUUGACUAAUGACUGAGAGCCCGGGGUGUCCUGAGAGAGGGUGUCACCCUAAUGCAGAGUUUCCCAAACUCAGUCCUUGGGACCCCAAGGGGUGCAUGUUUUUGUUUUUGCCCCAACACUACACAGCUCAUUCAAAUGACCAAAGCUUGAUUAGAUGACUAUUUGAAUCAGCUGUGUAGUGCUAGGGCAAAAAACAAAACGUGCACCCCAGUUUGAGAAACCUUGCCCUAAUGGAAGGGUGGUCCUUCCAAUCUGAGUCAGAGUGAGGUAAGAAGGGAGGGGCGACAGGGUUUUCCUCUUGUGUGUUUUGAGAAUUGGGGAUGGCUAGAAAACAGUUUUUCCCAUUGCUCCUUACCUUAUAGUAUUUUAUGCAUGAUUCUCUGAGAAAUGGAUACAAAAUAUUCUCUCUUACCCAGUACCCCUAAAAUUAACUUAAUGGUCUGCAGAAAUGGGUGUAUUGGGAUAGACCUGAUUGGUUGUAGGAGUCUGCUUUGUCUGCUCCUCUCUCCAUGUCUGCACAUGUGGCCCAGGAGAUUGAACAGUCAUGGUUCUACACCAUUGAUAUCAAUUAAGCAGAUCAGUGGUGCAAUUUCUACUUCCCAUUAUUUGCUGUUUCAAGCUAAACUGUUACACUACUGGCUUUAUAAUCAGAGAUUAUUUUCCAACUCCUUAUUUUGAUUGGUUAAAGUUAGUACAAGAGAUAUAACUAAUGAUGGAGACAAAUUUUGAUUUAUAGCUUGCCCUAUAGCGAUCCAUAAAUACAGUAAAUCAUGUAAUAUUCUGAUAAUGUAUGUCUGUACUGCACCAACAGUUGAAGUCGGAAGUUUAUGUACACCUUAGCCAAAUACAUUUAAACUCAGUUUUUCACAAUUCCUGACAUUUAAUCCUAGUAAAAAUGUCCAGUCUUAGGUCAGUUAGGAUCACCACUUUAUUUUAAGAAUGUGAAAUGUCAGAAUAAUAGUAGAGAAUUAUUCUAAUUCAGCUUUUAUUUAUUUCAUCACAUUCCCAGUGGGUCAGAAGUUUACAUACACUCAAUUAGUAUUUGGUAGCAUUGCCUUAAACAAUUUAAACUUGGGUCAAACAUUUUGGGUAACCUUCCACAAGCUCCCACAAUAUGUUGGGUGAAUUUUGGCCCAUUCCUCCUGACAGAGCUGGUGUACCUGAGUCAGGUUUGUAGGCCGCCUUGCUUACACACACAUUUUCAGUUCUGCCCACAAAUUUGCUAUAGGAUUGAGGUCAGGGCUUAAUAAUGGCCACUCCAAUACCUUGACUUUGUUGUCCUUAAGCCAUUUUGCCACAACUUUGGAAGUACGCUUGGGGUCAUUGUCCAUUUGGAAGACCCAUUUGCGACCCAGCUUUAACUUCCUGACUGAUGUCUCGAGAUGUUGCUUCAAUAUAUCCACAUACUUUUCCUCCCUCGUGAUACCAUCUAUUUUGUGAAGUGCACCUGUCCCUCCUGCAGCAAAGCACCCCCACAACACGAUGCUGCCACCCCGUGCUUCAUGGUUGGGAUGGUGUUCUUUGGCUUGCAAGCCCCCCCCCCCCCUUUGUCCUCCAAACAUAACAAUGGUCAUUGGCCAAACAGUUCUAUUUUUGUUCCAUUGGACCAGAGGACAUUUCUCCAAAAAGUACGAUCUUUGUCCUCAUGUGCAGUUGCAAACCGUAGUCUUGCUUUUUUAUGGUGGUUUUGGAGCAGUGCCUUCUUCGUUGCUGAGCGGCCUUUCAGGUUAUGUCGAUAUAGGACUAAUUUUACUGUGGAUAUAGAUACUUUUGUACCCGUUUCCUCCAGCAUCUUCACAAGGUCCUUUGCUGUUGUUCUGGGAUUUAUAUGCACUUUUUGCACCAAAGUACUUCCUCUUUAGGAGACAGAACGUGUCUCCUUCCUGAGCGGUAUAACGACUGCGUGGUCCCAUGGUGUUUACCAUGGGUACCGUGGUACCUUUAUGCAUUUGAAAUUGCUCCCAAGGAUGAACCAGACUUGUGGAGAAGGUCUUGGCUGAUUUUUAUUUUUAUUUUGCAAUGAUGUCAAGCAAAGAGGCACUGAGUUUGAAGGUAGGCCUUGAAAUACAUCCACAGGUACACCUCAAAUUUACUCAAAUGAUGUCAAUUAGCCUAUCAGAAGCUUCUAAAAUCAUGACAUCAUUUUAUGGAAUUUUCCAAGCUGUUUAAAGGCACAGUCAACUUAGUGUAUGUAAACUUCUGACCCACUGGAAUUGCGAUACAUUGAAAUAAUCUGUCUGUAAACAAUUGUUGGAAGAAUUGCUAGUGUCAUGCACAAAGUUGAUGAAACUGGCUCUCAUGAGGACUGCCACAGGAAAGGAAAGACCCAGAGUUACCUCUGCUGCAGGGGAUAAGUUCAUUCACUAACCGAUUUGCCAAAACUAUAGUUUGUUAACAAGAAAUUUGUGGAGGGGUUGAAAAACGAGUUUUAAUGACUCCAACCUAAGUGUAUGUAAACUUACAACUUCAACUGUAUGUAAUGGUGGGGUACAACAAGAUACAUUUUCCUAUCUGUAAGAGCUACCCAAUAGGCCUACACUAAUUGUUGCAUCUGAAAUAGAAAAUGAUCCAUCAUAUGAAUUUGAAGUAAUCAGUUUGAGCUGUAAAAAACAAUGGGAUUGGAUUAGACCCACAGCAGACCGCUCCCUAAUGAAACAUACUUUGAGAAAUUAGAUUUAGUUAGACCACUCUCGAUUUUCCUUUGAGAUUAAUUGACUUCCUAGAUAGUGGUACAUUAGCAAACUCUGACUAAUCACUUUACGACGCUUUUGUUUAAGCGGUAUAGAUUUAUGCAAUACCACAUGGUAUGUAUGACGAGGGAUAUUCCAGGUGUUGUUUUUCUUUAUAUGGAGAGUUUAACUUUGUUGUAUGAUUUUAACUAUAUUUACAGUCAGGUUCAAAAUGAUUGGCACCCUUCAAAAAGAUGAGCAAAAAAUACAUGAUAAAAUAAAUCAUACAAAACUACUGAGCUUUGUGUGCAACAAAAUAAAGGAAAUUAUAUUAUUUUAUCCUAA